AAACGACUCUCGGCAACGGAUAUCUCGGCUCUCGCAUCGAUGAAGAACGUAGCGAAAUGCGAUACUUGGUGUGAAUUGCAGAAUCCCGUGAACCAUCGAGUCUUUGAACGCAAGUUGCGCCCAAAGCCAUUGGCCAAGGGCACGUCUGCCUGGGCGUCACACAU
rnacentral:rRNA from 1 species